GAUUCUGUGGUAUGAUCAACACCUGUUUUACUUACCUGCUUUAUGUGGUUGCAUUACCCUUUGCCCUACUGUCCCAAUCGAUAUAUAAAUAGUUUGCCAGUGCUAUUCAGCCAACCUCAAUAACAUAAAUUGUCUGUAAAUUGUCAUACUCCUAUAACUCCACAAAGUAAAUAGUAGUUUUUACUAAUAUCUUAUUUAUAGUACAUCAAGUAAUAUUUCUUUCAAACCCACAUUGGAUAACUUUUUUCACCUAUAGUGGGUCUAAUUUCACCUACCUGGACCUGCAACCAGCAUUUUUGCUUGCUAGAUACAAAUAGACACACUAACUGAUAAUACAUGCAGCUGCCUACAACCCACUUCCUGAUCAAACCAGGUUACAUCACCCCAUCCUGAAAGUGAUAGCAAAUGGUAACGUCAUAAAAAAAACCCUAAUACCUGGGGUUUUUUUUAUUUGUCCAACCUUAAAGUAUCUAGCUACUGACAUUUUUCUUAAUAUAUAUUUUUUUCCAUUAUAUUUUCCCUCCAGUGUUCUAAACUGGGUAAGAGUGGAAAGUUGUUAGGGAAACUAGGGCGAUGAGGAUUGUCACUGUUAGUGGGACUGGGGCUUGGGGAGGAGGGAAGAGUGUGAAGGGAAACUCUUAGAUAUUUUAGGGGAUGAUGCCAGCUGGGAUGUUCCUGGAGCUCACAUUUACAUGGGAGAAGUUUGUCGGUGAGUAUAACUCUGGGAAUAUGAAGGGGACCUUCUAGAUGGUUUAGGGGAUGAUGCCAGCUGGAAUGUUCCUGAAGCUCACAAUGACAUGGAUGAAGUUGGUGAGUAUAACUUUUUAUAUUUGUAAAUAUAUCUAUACAUUAUUGUGUGUGUACUUUAAAUUAAAGUUACUAUAAUGUUUAUAGGUGUUGCUGCCCAUGAGGGAUUGCGCAGUGGAGCACAGUGGCCUUGGAUCUUAUUCAAAAUGUGACAGAGCUGUCCAAGGACGCAUAUGUAAAUCCUGCAGAGGAAAGUGCAGAGGAAGAUGAGGACCAUUUUUUACUCUUCAUUUGGAGCCAGCUGAGAAAGAAUCAGAAGACACAGAGCAGAAGCAAGUGGGCAAUUUGGAAGGCCCUUAGCAGCAGCAAAUAGCAGAUACACAGCUGGCAGGGCCAUUAUGUCAAAGAACUUCCAAAAAAUCUGGACAGAUUUGAAAUAAAUGUUAAAUAUUGUCUUGAAA